AUUGAACGCUAGCGGGAUGCCUUACACAUGCAAGUCGAACGGAGUGGCGAAAGGGUGAGUAAUGUAUCGGAACGUGCCCAGUAGCUGGGGAUAACUACGCGAAAGCGUAGCUAAUACCGCAUACUAUUGGAGCGGCCGAUAUCGGAUUAGCUAUUUGGUGGGGUAACGGCUCACCCAGGCGACGAUCCGUAGCUGGUUUGAGAGGACGACCAGCAACACUUGGACUGAGACACGGCCCAGACUCCUACGGGGGGCAGCAGUGGAGAAUUUGGGACAAUGGGGUAAACCCUUAUCCAGCCAUCCCGCGUGUGCGCUGAAGGCCUUCUGGUUGUAAAGCACUUUUGGCAGGAAAGCGGUACCUGCAGAAUAAGCACCGGCUAACUACGUGCCAGCAGCCGCGGUAAUAC
rnacentral:rRNA from 1 species